GCUGGCGGCGUGCCUAACACAUGCAAGUCGAACGCGAAAGCCCCUUCGGGGGUAAGUAGAGUGGCGUCCGGGUGAGUAACACGUAGGUAAUCUACCUCUGGGUGGGGAAUAACUUGCCGAAAGGCGAGCUAAUACCGCAUAACGCAGCGGCACCUAAUGGUGAUUGGUUGUUAAAGCGGGGGACCCGCAAGGGCCUCGCGCCAGGAGAGGAGCCUGCGGCAGAUUAGCUAGUUGGUGAGGUAAUGGCUCACCAAGGCUUCGAUCUGUAGCUGGUCUGAGAGGACGGCCAGCCACACUGGCACUGACACACGGGCCAGACUCCUACGGGAGGCAGCAGUGGGGAAUUUUGGGCAAUGGGCGAAAGCCUGACCCAGCAACGCCGCGUGAAGGAGGAAAUCCUUCGGGAUGUAAACUUCACAAGUAAGGGAAGAAAGCUGCGGAUUAAAUAAAUCCGCAGUCCGACGGUACCUUACGUAAGCCACGGCUAACUACGUGCCAGCAGCCGCGGUAAUACGUAGGUGGCAAGCGUUGUUCGGAAUUAUUGGGCGUAAAGGGCGCGUAGGCGGUUUGUUAAGUCAGCUGUGAAAGCCCGGGGCUCAACCCCGGAGAGUCGACUGAUACUGGCAAACU
rnacentral:rRNA from 1 species